rnacentral:rRNA from 1 species
UACGUAGGUGGCAAGCGUUGUCCGGAUUUAUUGGGCGUAAAGAGCGUGUAGGCGGCCAUACAGGUCCGUUGUGAAAACUGGAGGCUUAACCUCCAGACGUCGAUGGAAACCGUAUGGCUAGAGUCCGGAAGAGGAGAGUGGAAUUCCUGGUGUAGCGGUGAAAUGCGCAGAUAUCAGGAAGAACACCCGUGGCGAAGGCGGCUCUCUGGGACGGUACUGACGCUGAGACGCGAAAGCGUGGGGAGCGAACAGG